UACGUAGGGUGCAAGCGUUAAUCGGAAUUACUGGGCGUAAAGCGUGCGCAGGCGGUUUGGUAAGACAGAUGUGAAAUCCCCGGGCUUAACCUGGGAAUUGCAUUGUGACUGCCCGGCUAGAGUGUGUCAGAGGGGGGUAGAAUUCCACGUGUAGCAGUGAAAUGCGUAGAGAUGUGGAGGAAUACCGAUGGCGAAGGCAGCCCCCGUGGAUAACACUGACGGCUCAUGCACGAAAGCGUGGGGAGCAAACAGG
rnacentral:rRNA from 1 species